rnacentral:tRNA from 1 species
UAGGCUAUAGUUUAAUAAAAUUUUUGAUUUGCACUCAAAAGAUGUCCUCCUGGACUAGCUUAA